AGAGUUUGAUCCUGGCUCAGGACGAACGCUGGCGGCGUGCCUAAUACAUGCAAGUAGAACGCUGAAGAGAGGAGCUUGCUCUUCUUGGAAGAGUUGCGAACGGGUGAGUAACGCGUAGGUAACCUGCCUUGUAGCGGGGGAUAACUAUUGGAAACGAUAGCUAAUACCGCAUAACAAUGGGUGACCCAUGUCAUUCAUUUGAAAGGGGCAACUGCUCCACUACAAGAUGGACCUGCGUUGUAUUAGCUAGUAGGUGAGGUAACGGCUCACCUAGGCGACGAUACAUAGCCGACCUGAGAGGGUGAUCGGCCACACUGGGACUGAGACACGGCCCAGACUCCUACGGGAGGCAGCAGUAGGGAAUCUUCGGCAAUGGGGGCAACCCUGACCGAGCAACGCCGCGUGAGUGAAGAAGGUUUUCGGAUCGUAAAGCUCUGUUGUAAGUCAAGAACGAGUGUGAGAGUGGAAAGUUCACACUGUGACGGUAGCUUACCAGAAAGGGACGGCUAACUACGUGCCAGCAGCCGCGGUAAUACGUAGGUCCCGAGCGUUGUCCGGAUUUAUUGGGCGUAAAGCGAGCGCAGGCGGUUUGAUAAGUCUGAAGUUAAAGGCUGUGGCUCAACCAUAGUUCGCUUUGGAAACUGUCAAACUUGAGUGCAGAAGGGGAGAGUGGAAUUCCAUGUGUAGCGGUGAAAUGCGUAGAUAUAUGGAGGAACACCGGUGGCGAAAGCGGCUCUCUGGUCUGUAACUGACGCUGAGGCUCGAAAGCGUGGGGAGCGAACAGGAUUAGAUACCCUGGUAGUCCACGCCGUAAACGAUGAGUGCUAGGUGUUGGGUCCUUUCCGGGAUUCAGUGCCGCAGCUAACGCAUUAAGCACUCCGCCUGGGGAGUACGACCGCAAGGUUG
rnacentral:rRNA from 1 species